AUGAUGCUCAUUACAAAUCCUCAGAGCAUGAAUGAAACGGGCUGAACUUCUUCUACAUCAGUUGGAUGUGGAUCAAUCUAAGGAGAGAAGAAAGACAACAAUUACUGCCCGAAAUUCCUGCAUUUAGGUAUCUGUACUCCCAGAGGCAAUGUGGUUUCCUCGGACAUUGGCAACCAUCUGACGGAAGGUUUUUGUCUUCCCACUGGCCAGAAUGUGGGUAUGAUGCCUUCAAACUCCUAACUACUGAAGAUAAAGACCAUUCUGCUUACAGAUGUCACUGCCAAAAUACCCUGAGUUCUCUCUAGAAUGGAUUAAAAUGUAAGGAUGUAAUGAGGGGGAAAAAAAGCCUGCUCAAAACAUCUCUUUUCUAUGUUCACGUCAUGAUGUUAAAAUUAUCCUACCAUUUUAAAUAAAAUAGAAAUGACUCAUU